rnacentral:rRNA from 1 species
AGUGAACGCUGGCGGUAGGCCUAACACAUGCAGGUCGAACGGCAGCACAGGAGAGCUUGCUCUCUGGGUGGCGAGUGGCGGACGGGUGAGGAAUACAUCGGAAUCUACUUUUUCGUGGGGGAUAACGUAGGGAAACUUACGCUAAUACCGCAUACGACCUACGGGUGAAAGCAGGGGACCUUCGGGCCUUGCGCGAUUGAAUGAGCCGAUGUCGGAUUAGCUAGUUGGCGGGGUAAAGGCCCACCAAGGCGACGAUCCGUAGCUGGUCUGGGAGGAUGAUCAGCCACACUGGAAAUGAGACACGGUCCAGAGUCCUACGGGAGGCAGCAGUGGGGAAUAUUGGACAAUGGGCGCAAGCCUGAUCCAGCCAUACCGCGUGGGUGAAGAAGGCCUUCGGGUUGUAAAGCCCUUUUGUUGGGAAAGAAAUCCAGCUGGCUAAUACCCGGUUGGGAUGACGGUACCCAAAGAAUAAGCACCGGCUAACUUCGUGCCAGCCGCCGCGGUAA